UUAAUUAUAUCACUUGCUUCAACUAACAUUUAUAGCAUGUUUGGCCAAGCUUCAAAAAAAAUUUUUUUUUUUUUUUGAAAAGUGAUUUUUCUAUAAGUAGUUUUGGCGAGAAGCAGUUUAUGUUAAGUUAAAUAAUUUGAAAAACACUUCUGCGCAAUAAUUAAUAUUUGGCCAAGGUUUUAAGAAGUGCAUCUAAAAGUAUAUUUUUCUCAAAAGUACUUUCCAAAAAUGUGAUUUUGGGUAGAAGCUAUUUUUCUGCUUCUGCUUCUACUCAAAAGCAUUUUUUUAUUCCAGAAAAACUUGGUAAAAUAUGAACAUAUUUGACUGGCCACGGAGUUUAAAAAAAUAAAUACUUUUGUAAUUUGUGGUUAUAAACAAGUCAAAAAGGGCCAGAGUAUUUGUGUGAUUAUAAAAGCUUUUUAUUAAAGGUAUAAUUGUAAGUUGAAGUUAAAUUAUUACCAAAUUUAGAAAUAAGUCAUUUUUUGGAAGGAAAUAAAAAGGAAAUAGAUUAACAUAAACGGGAAGAGAUGGAGCACUAUUUUCUUAAGAAAAAAGAAGUGCUUUUUGAGUAUAGAGAAGCUUGGCCAAACAGGCCAUAUGAUUGUUGUCAACCUUCUAAUACUAGAAAAUAUCAGUGAAAAUUCUAUCCGAAUACUUUAUCCUAAAAUCUGUACAAUAGUUUAUCUUAAACUCUGCACAAUUACCAUAAAUCACCUACUAUUUUAUUUCCGAAAUUGAACAUUGAAAAAUUAAUAUUCCAAGAUAAAACAUUUCCACAUAAUACAUUUUUAUAGGGAAACGGUUUCCACAGACCUCGCUUUUAUUAAAAUUAAUAAAUAAAAAAAGGGAGAGGAUGAUAAAUCGGGUACCCAGUGCAUCGAGCUGUUUCUUUAAAGGGGUAGGAGGUUCCACAUAAUACAUUUUAUAGGAAAAUAAUUUCAAAAUAGACCUCGCUUUUAUUAAAAUUAAUUUAAAAAAGGGAGAGGAUGAUAAAUAGGGUACCUAGUGCGUCGAGCUGCUUCUUUAAAGGGGUAGGAGGUCUGCCUCUGAGCUUCUUGGAGGAGUUUUCAGAAGAGGGAGUGGCGGGCCCACCAGCAGCAGCAGAAUCAGAA
rnacentral:lncRNA from 1 species